UCACCUCCUCAAACCAUGCCCGAUGAACUCUCUUGAAAGCUUCUACAAAUUUCACCUCCUCAAACCAUGUUCGACGAACUUCCUCAAAUGCUUCUGCAAAUUGAAAGUUGAGAAGAAACCAAACUGAAUGAUUGGGAAUCAGAUAAUUGCAAAGGAUUUCGAUUCUGGUAGUAGAAUUUGUUUGGAAAGAAUUGCAGGCACCUUGGCUUGACUGGAAACCCAUAUCCCUUGACCAAGAACACGGGCACCUUGGCUUGACUGGAAGAGAAAUUGGGUAUGGCUUUGAUCUGAGAAGUCUGAGAGAAAUGUUGAUGAUGUUGAUGGUGUUGCAGGUCUGUGGUGUUGAUGGAGUCUGGGUCUUCAUGUUUCUUGUAAACUAGAAGUCUGGAACUUCUAACAAUUCGUUGGCAUGCUUGUAUAAUUGAAAGCAUGCAGAUACUUGAGAUGGUCAUUUAACUUAUCUGUUUAUUGUGGUUGGGUGCUUGCGCGUUACUCCCAUGUGCCCAGAUUAGCUUUCUUCUGCAGAAGUAAUCGUUAAGAACAACGAGCAGAGGUUGACUGGGGGCUGUAGUUAUUAGUCCCUCAAACACCAAACAUAAGUCAGGACAUAGUAAACAUAAGCCCAGCUUGAGGAGUCCGGGACAAUUAUAAAAAUUAACGCGGGGUAUGAC
rnacentral:lncRNA from 1 species